CAAAACUUUCAACAACGGAUCUCUUGGUUCUGGCAUCGAUGAAGAACGCAGCGAAAUGCGAUAAGUAAUGUGAAUUGCAGAAUUCAGUGAAUCAUCGAAUCUUUGAACGCACAUUGCGCCCUCUGGUAUUCCGGAGGCAUGCCUGUUCGAGCGUCAUU
rnacentral:rRNA from 1 species